AGAUAGAUAGAUAGAUAGAUAGAUAGUCACGACUUCACUUCGUUUAUCACAUUACAUACUGUAAGGACAAUGGCAGUUAUCAUCUAGGACAUUUUGUAAUAAUAAUAAUAAAAAUAAUAAUGAUUUAUUCUUAUUAUUAUUAUAAAAGACCUUUGCCGAUAUAAUAACACGAUAGGAAAGAUAUGACCAGUACCUAAAUAUGCAAAAUGCUCUACUAUACCAUAAAAAGGUGAAAUUAUUCGAAUCAUAAUCAGUGUAAACAAUGCAAGCGCAAACAAACCCCGCCACACACUUUUGCUUCUCGUGGUGGAAGCUUAACAAACAUUUUAAGGAAAAGUGUGCCCUCUGAUGGACGAGAGAAGAAAAAACUAGCUUCAAAACGAUUGAAAGCGUCAACCGAGACGUGACGUUGUCAGCGUGCGCGAUCAAAAGAAUUCUGAGCGGUGAUUGGCCGUCAAUCAAACGAGAGUGAAGUGCGUCUCCUAGCAACCGGCCAGAGUCUCGUCUUGUUCAUAGCAGCAGGCUCUAGUUCGGACAUGGAAAGAUACAAACAGGUAUGACUGCCCGUAUGGAUGGACUGCGUUUUAAUAUAGAUGAAUUAACUUAUGUUUUUUUUUCCUUUCCCCUCCGCAGGAAAAUGUACAUCCUUUGCCGAAGCGUGUGAUUCAGCGGGACAGAGAUGUGACCCACCUUCAUCUCGCCAGAAGGUGCUUAGAGAAAAAUAUAAAGAAAUAAUAAAAUAAAAUAAAAAAUAUAUAUACAUAAAGUUUUUAGACAAUAAGAUGUGAUAUAUAUCUAUAUCUAUAUAUAUGCAUGUAAAAAUGUAUUAGAAUGUACAAUGUGCAUAAGAAUGAUUUAACAUGAAAAAUAUUUGCAUUUAUUUGUAUAUUUCCCUUUCGUUUUCCAUCUGUUUUUAGAGGAUUGACUUUCAUUCCAGAUUUGUCAAGGUUUUCCAUGCUGAGAUGCGUGUGGCUUAACAAUAACAGGGUUAGAUUGCCUGACUAAUAGUAGAAUUUUACCUUGUAGCUUUUGCUGCUUAAAAUAACAUUUUGAAGCUUAAAAUAAUGUUUGUUUUAAAAAUAAAACUUUCAGUCUAACAAGAGUGAGCGACUUUACAGAUCCGAGAGGUUUCCAGAGCUUCAUUUAACUGCUGCUUAACAGAACUUUAUCUACAGGACAAUGACAUUUCCUCUAUUUCAGGUCAGCUUGUGCAGUAAAGGUGUUUUAUAUUUACGUACCUUUGGAGUUUCUUAAGUUCUAACCUUUUUUCUGUCUGCAUUCAGGGGCAUUGAGACACCUGACGUGUCUUCAAGUGCUGCUCCUAUUCAAUAAUCAGAUGAAGUGCUUGGAGGAGACAGUGUCAGAGCUGAAGAACAUGCAAGACCUCCACACUCUCUGUGAGAUCCCGAGACCACCAUCUGUCCUUCAACCAAUGCAUUCCCUAGUAUAGUUAACUAUAAACACUCCUUGGUAUUUAAAAGUUAAUAUAGCAUUUAAUUAAGACUUUAAAAGCUAAUUUUACACCAUUUGUACAACCAAAAUAUAAAAGUAUUGGUAUUAUAAUGAUUGUAUAUAUUUUUUUCAAGUAAUUGUUUUGGCAAAAAGUCAUUUUAGAUCUUCUGUUUCAGCUUUAUAUCUCAACCCUUUCACGCAAGAUCCUGAUUACCGGCAAUACGUGCUGCAUCAUUUACCAUCUGUGAAGUUUUUAGAUAGAAAAGGUUGGCAUUCAUAUUCAUACGAACUUCCAAUAUUAGAACAAUUCACCAAAACCGAUCAAAGAUACCACAUGAAUAAUUAUGUGAUUGGAUAAACUAAUUAGAAAGCAGUUGUGCUGCUUUAUUAUUUUGUUAACCGUUUUGGGUGAGAUUUAAAUCGGUAUAUAAGAAAGAUUUCUGAACGAUCAUGCGACACCUAAUGCGAAAAUUAAGCUUUGCCGUCACAAGAAUAAAUUACAUUUUACAAUAUAUUAAAACGGAAAACAGCUGUUUUGGAUUGUAAUAAUAUUUCAGAAUACUACCGUUUUUACUGUACGUAAAUAAAUGCAGUCUUGGUUAGCAUAAGGGUCUUCGUUAAACACAUUAAAAGUCUUAAAUGCUCCAGACUUUUAAGCAGUGAGGUACUGUAUAAUUGGCAGAAGUGACGCAGGAAGAAAGAAGACGGGCAUUUAAGCUCUUCGGUGUAGAAAGACAAAGGGUGCUUGAUACCAUCGCCUUUGGCAGACGAGCACUACCGCCUCCUACAGGAAGAAAAACGACCAACUCCAUCACAAAACCAGUCGGUCAGCAAGGCUCAAGAAAGAGCAGUCGUUCUGAUGAUCGAGAAAACCCAUCAGUGCCCAAAUCCAUCAUCCAGUUCUCCAUUAUGAACUGGACCGGUUCAAGCACGUCUCAGUGGAACCAUCUACAUGACUCAAGCAAACCUGC